rnacentral:lncRNA from 1 species
AAUGUUUCCAUGGAUUUGUUCUUACAGCCUUGUUUUUGUAACUAUCUUUUGGAACUGAACUUUUGCCUUUUAUGAACUAUCUUUUCCCUAUUUCCUAAUAAACUACAAAAGACUACAUUCUGUGUGCAGCCUGGUGUCUUUAGCAAGGUGAAGCUAACCUGAGGUGUGACACAGCCUAGUCCUUGGGAAACAUCUUUGUGGUGUUUGUUUUGCUGUUUGUGCCCCUGUUCAGAAGAUUUCACCUGAGUUUCUGUCCCUGUGAUAAUUGGAUUUAGAAAAAUUGGGCUGGUUAUUCAAACUGUUGCACCCCUAGGCUGCGUAGGCACCUUAAACUCACACUGAAGCCUCAGAAUACAGCAAGCAAGCUGUUUAUUGAGGAUUAUAUGCAAGCAAUUGCAAAAGACAUGUCCAGUCAUAACCAACUACAGGUUAAGCAUUUCUCAUCCAGAUUUUUGAAAUCUGAAAUAUUCCAAAAUUGUCCACAUGAGUGGCUAAGAUAGAGAAAAAUUUCUUUCUGGUUGAUGCAUGUAUACAAACUUGUUUUGUUUAUUGCACAAAAUUAUUUAAACUAUUAUUAUGUCUAUAAAAUUACUUUCAGGCUAUGUGUAUAAGAGGUACAUAAAACAUAAAUGAAAUCUGUGCUUAGAUGUAGGUCCCAUCUCUAAGAUAACUCAUUAUGUAUAUGUAGGUAUUCCAAAAUUUCAGAUAAGGAAUCUUUAACUUGUAAUCACAUGUUGCUGUUUUUGAUUGUUGCCUAAGGCUUUGAACUACUGGGUGUUGUUUUGGCCCAUGGUUCUUUCAGUCUUAGAUUGGUGGAGAUCUGAAUUUCCCCUAUGGCUCAGUCUUAGCAGAGAUGUAAGAGCUGGUGGCAUAAAUCUCCCUUGCAGUUUUCAAAAAUGCGUUGGAUAAUCCAGAACGUUGGAUAAGCGAGUGUUGGAUAAGUGAGACUCUACUGUAAUUACUACAUAGCAUUACUGCGCAUGGAACUACUUUUUCUGUCAAAUUUGUUGUAUAAUAUGAUGUUUUGGUGCUUAAUUUGUAUAACGAUUACCUAAUUUGAUGUUUAAUUGGCUUUUCCUGAAUCCCUUCUUAUUAUCCAACAUAUUCACUUAUCCUGCCGGCCUGUUUACGUUGGAUAAGUGAGACUCUACUGUAUAUUUCUAAUCUUAUAUUAUCUGCUCAGAACUGGAUUAUAUGAGGCUCCUUCUUCACAGCUGUAUAAAAUGCACACUGAAGUGGAUUAUAUGGCAGUGUGGAGUCAAGAUAAUCCAGUGCCAAGCAGAUAAUAUAAGAUUAUAAAUGGGUUAUAUAGCUGUGUUGAAGGGCCUUGAGUCUACACUGCCAUAUAAUCCAGUGCAAAUUAGAUAAUCUGUGGAAGAAGUCUAAGUGAGGCCUAAAUCUGCCUGUCCCCUAACUGAAACCUGGCUGUCCCUUGGUUGCUAGGCAACCAAGUGGGCAGAGAUUAGCCCUCUAAACUGGCAGCAAUUGGAUAAAAAAAAUUAUUGCUCUCCCUCUAAUUAGGACUUUAUUUUUCUUUUCUUUUUGUUGUAUCAACCUUGAGGCGUGGAUGAUGGGUUGUGUUGUCAAAUUUUGAGGUUGGGGGGCCUGUACUUUUGUUGUUUUGUGAAUUGCCGUGAUGCCAUCACUCUUUUAUAUAUAUAGAUUAGAAACCCCUUUAUGCAUGUUGGCCAUUUUCUUUGGAGUCAAAUACCAAGGAUAUUAAACAUAAACAUAAUAAUAAUAAGGAUAUAUCAUUUUGUAGAAAUUCUUCUUAAGAUCAUAAUGUAAUGUAUAUUUCAAUCCUUUUGACCACAUUUCCCCAUUUUUAAAAUCGUGUCAGAAGCAAAUUGAGAAUAUACUGCAAGUUGCUUCUGGCGUGAGAGAAUCGGCUGUCUACAGAGAC